rnacentral:rRNA from 1 species
UUGGGUUAAGUCCCGCAACGAGCGCAACCCUUAUCCUUUGUUGCCAGCGGUCCGGCCGGGAACUCAAAGGAGACUGCCAGUGAUAAACUGGAGGAAGGUGGGGAUGACGUCAAGUCAUCAUGGCCCUUACGACCAGGGCUACACACGUGCUACAAUGGCGCAUACAAAGAGAAGCGACCUCGCGAGAGCAAGCGGACCUCAUAAAGUGCGUCGUAGUCCGGAUUGGAGUCUGCAACUCGACUCCAUGAAGUCGGAAUCGCUAGUAAUCGUGGAUCAGAAUGCCACGGUGAAUACGUUCCCGGGCCUUGUACACACCGCCCGUCACACCAUGGGAGUGGGUUGCAAAAGAAGUAGGUAGCUUAACCUUCGGGAGGGCGCUUACCACUUUGUGAUUCAUGACUGGGGUGAAGUCGUAACAAGGUAACCGUAGGGGAACCUGCGGUUGGAUCAC